rnacentral:rRNA from 1 species
CCUACGGGAGGCAGCAGUGGGGAAUAUUGCGCAAUGGGCGAAAGCCUGACGCAGCGACGCCUCGUGAGGGAUGAAGGUCUUCGGAUCGUAAACCUCUGUCAAGAGGGAAGAAACCCUUGAGUUCGAACAGGGCUCUUGGCUGACGGUACCUCUAAAGGAAGCACCGGCUAACUCCGUGCCAGCAGCCGCGGUAAUACGGAGGGUGCAAGCGUUAAUCGGAAUCACUGGGCGUAAAGCGCUCGUAGGCGGUUUGGUCAGUCAGAUGUGAAAGCCCUCGGCUUAACCGGGGAACUGCAUUUGAUACUGCCAGACUUGAGUGUCGGAGAGGGUGGCGGAAUUCCGGGUGUAGGAGUGAAAUCCGUAGAUAUCCGGAGGAACACCAGUGGCGAAGGCGGCCACCUGGACGACAACUGACGCUGAGGAGCGAAAGCGUGGGGAG